rnacentral:piRNA from 1 species
UGCAACUUCAGUAAGGGGCGGGGUCU